CCUACGGGUGGCAGCAGUGAGGAAUAUUGGUCAAUGGACGAGAGUCUGAACCAGCCAUGUAGCGUGAAGGAUGACGGCUCUAUGGGUUGUAAACUUCUUUUAUAUGGGAAUAAAACAGGGUAUGCAUACCCUCCUGUAUGUACCAUAUGAAUAAGGAUCGGCUAACUCCGUGCCAGCAGCCGCGGUAAUACGGAGGAUCCGAGCGUUAUCCGGAUUUAUUGGGUUUAAAGGGAGCGUAGGUGGAUUGUUAAGUCAGUUGUGAAAGUUUGCGGCUCAACCGUAAAAUUGCAGUUGAUACUGGCAGUCUUGAGUACAGUAGAGGUAGGCGGAAUUCGUGGUGUAGCGGUGAAAUGCUUAGAUAUCACGAAGAACUCCGAUUGCGAAGGCAGCUGACUGGACUGCAACUGACACUGAUGCUCGAAAGUGUGGGUAUCAAACAGGAUUAGAUACCCGUGUAGUC
rnacentral:rRNA from 1 species